GGUGUUUUGCUGGCCUUUUUUGAGGUCAGCUCCCCUGAAAUGCAUUAGCGGAACAAUUUGUCGACUCCGUUCAUUGGUGUGAUAACUAUCUACGCUAUUGAUGGGUGAAGGCAGAGUUCAGCUCCUAACAGUCCAUUGACUUGGACAACUUUUUCCUUUAAUGUGACCUCAAAUCAGGUAGGACUACCCGCUGAACUUAA
rnacentral:misc_RNA from 1 species